rnacentral:rRNA from 1 species
AAGAAGCCCCGGCUAACUUCGUGCCAGCAGCCGCGGUAAUACGAAGGGGGCUAGCGUUGCUCGGAAUUACUGGGCGUAAAGGGCGCGUAGGCGGAUCGUUAAGUCAGAGGUGAAAUCCCAGGGCUCAACCCUGGAACUGCCUUUGAUACUGGCGAUCUUGAGUAUGAGAGAGGUAUGUGGAACUCCGANUGUAGAGGUGAAAUUCGUAUAUAUUCGGAAGAACACCAGUGGCNAAGGCGACAUACUGGCUCAUUACUGACGCUGAGGCGCGAAAGCGUGGGGAGCAAACAGGAUUAGAUACCCUGGUAGUCCACGCCGUAAACGAUGAUUGCUAGUUGUCGGGCUGCAUGCAGUUCGGUGACGCA